rnacentral:rRNA from 1 species
GGGGAAUCUUACCGGGUCCGGACAUACUGAGGAUUGACAGGCGAAUGUAGUUUUAAUUUUAUUAUUACUGCAAUAAAUAUGCUAGUCCUUUCAUGAUUGUGUGAUAGGUGGUGCAUGGCCGUUCUUAGUUCGUGGAGUGAUCUGUCUGCUUAAUUGCGUUUCACAAUGGAUUUUUUUACUUUGCCUGUUGCGCGUAAAUAUUGUUUUAAUCGACAUAUUUAUUGUGCACGGUAAUUAUAAGAUCUUGAAGGCAACGAACGUGACCGUAUAANAUCUUGAAGGCAACGA